GUGAGUCCUGGCACUGCUUUGUAACUUUCCUCAAUUUGAAGUUUGGUUGAAACAAUGAAAUUUCUACCUUAAAUCUGGCCACACAUCCAGCUUGGUUUAGAAAUUAAAUUUUGGUGCCAUGGUGUUCAAAAACAGAGCAUCACUUUACAAUGGGAAGCCCAGCAGAAGCUCAGAAAUGCCCAAAUGGUGCAGAAGAGGUAGAAUCCAGGUGAGGUCCUCUGCUCAGGGAUUCGCAAGGCUGAAGUCAAGGUGUUGGCCAGUCUGCGUUCUCAUCUGGACGCUCGGGGGAAGAAUGUGCUUCCAACUUCAUUCAGGUGCUGGCAGAAUUCAGCUCCCAGCAGCUGUGUGAUUCAGGUCCCCGUUUUCUUGCUGGCUGUUGGAUGGGACUGCUUUUGGCUCCUAGAGGGUGCUCCCAGCUCCUCACCAUGUGGCCACCUCCACUGGCCGUUCGCAACAUGGCAGUUCACUCUUUAAGGCCAGCAAGAGAAUCUCUUUCCCUGUCAGCUGAAAUGAAGUCUUAUAUAACCUAAUCAUGACAUUAACAAACCCCCACCUUUGUCUUAUUAUGUAACCUCAUCACAGGAAUGGCACUCUAUCAUAUUCACAGGUCCUGUCCACUCUCAAGAGGAAGGAAUUACAUAGGAUGUGUAUACCAGCGGGCAGAACUCUGGGGGGCCAUCUUAGAAUUCUGCCUACCACGGGGCUGUGGGAUUAAAUAAGAUACUGUGUGUAAAACGCUUAGCUCAGUGCCUGGCCCAGAGAAAGACGCAAUAAGUGGUAGUCAUAGUCACCACCAUCAAUACGCAUAGUAGACAAAAUAAUGGCCCCCCAAAGAUGUCCUUGGAAUCUGUCAAUAUGUUAUGCUACGUGGCAAAGAAAAUGAAGGCUGCAGACGGAAUCAAGCUGGCUAAUCAGCUGACCUUAAAAUCGGGAAAUCAUCCUGGAUUUGCUCCUUAUGGAACCACAAGGGUCCUUCAAAGUGGAAGAGUGAGGCAGAAGAAGAGUCAGAACCAGAGAGAUGGCAGCAUGAAAAGACUUGGCCCAACGUUGCUGGCUUUCAAAAUGGAAGAAGAGGACCACGAGCCAAGGAAUGUGGGCGGCAAGGAAUGUGGCCAAGCUGGAAGGGGAGAGGAAUAGAUUUUCCCCUGGAGCCUCCAGGAAAGAAUGCAAGCCUGCUGUCACCUUGACUGUAGCCCGGCGAGACCUGUUUCAGACUUUGGACGUCCAGAACUGUAAGAUAAUAAAUGUGUGUUGUUUUAA
rnacentral:lncRNA from 1 species